rnacentral:rRNA from 1 species
ACACAUGCAAGUCGAACGCCCCGCAAGGGGAGUGGCGCACGGGUGAGUAACACGUGGGAACCUACCUUCUGGUACGGAACAACCAAGGGAAACUUUGGCUAAUACCGUAUACGACCUCCGGGUGAAAGAUUUAUCGCCGGAAGAGGGGCCCGCGUCCGAUUAGGUAGUUGGUGGGGUAACGGCCUACCAAGCCGACGAUCGGUAGCUGGUCUGAGAGGAUGACCAGCCACACUGGGACUGAGACACGGCCCAGACUCCUACGGGAGGCAGCAGUGGGGAAUAUUGGACAAUGGGCGGAAGCCUGAUCCAGCCAUGCCGCGUGAGUGAUGAAGGCCUUCGGGUUGUAAAGCUCUUUCACCCACGACGAUGAUGACGGUAGUGGGAGAAGAAGCCCCGGCUAACUUCGUGCCAGCAGCAGCGGUAAUACGAAGGGGGCAAGCGUUGUUCGGAAUGACUGGGAC